AUAUAUAAGCUGAAAGAAUAUAAGUAUUCUCUUUACAUAACACUUCUACAACGAAUUGAAAGUUGUGAAGUAAUCUGUACUGAUAAAAAAUUCACAUAACAACUCUCUUUCAAUUUCUUGAAAUUAGGCUCCACCCAUGAAUAGGGUUUAAGAAACAUACUAUGAACAUUCUUUUCAUUUUCGAAAAGGUUUAGCAGAAAUCCAUCCGCAAACCGUCAUAACUUACGGGCACGGAGGGUGAUCAGCCCCGUUGUACCCUGUAUUGAUC
rnacentral:lncRNA from 1 species